CUACGGGAUGCUCCAGUGAGGAAUAUUGGUCAAUGGGCGCAAGCCUGAACCAGCCAUGCCGCGUGAAGGAUGAGGGCCUUAUGGGUUGUAAACUUCUUUUAUACGGGAAUAAACUUAGCUAUGUAUAGCUAACUGCAGGUACCGUAAGAAUAAGCACCGGCUAACUCCGUGCCAGCAGCCGCGGUAAUACGGAGGGUGCAAGCGUUAUCCGGAUUUAUUGGGUUUAAAGGGUCCGCAGGCGGACUAAUAAGUCAGUGGUGAAAUCUCUCGGCUCAACCGAGAAACUGCCAUUGAUACGGUUAGUCUAGAGUGUAGUUGGCGUAGGCGGAAUGUAUCAUGUAGCGGUGAAAUGCUUAGAUAUGAUACAGAACACCGAUCGCGAAGGCAGCUUACGAAACUACAACUGACGCUCAGGGACGAAAGCGUGGGAAGCGAACAGGAUUAGAUACCCGCGUAGUC
rnacentral:rRNA from 1 species